GACGAACGCUGGCGGCGUGCCUAAUACAUGCAAGUAGAGCGCUGAAGAGAGGAGCUUGCUCUUCUUGGAUGAGUUGCGAACGGGUGAGUAACGCGUAGGUAACCUGCCUUGUAGCGGGGGAUAACUAUUGGAAACGAUAGCUAAUACCGCAUAACAAUGGAUGACACAUGUCAUUUAUUUGAAAGGGGCAAUUGCUCCACUACAAGAUGGACCUGCGUUGUAUUAGCUAGUAGGUGAGGUAAUGGCUCACCUAGGCGACGAUACAUAGCCGACCUGAGAGGGUGAGCGGCCACACUGGGACUGAGACACGGCCCAGACUCCUACGGGAGGCAGCAGUAGGGAAUCUUCGGCAAUGGGGGCAACCCUGACCGAGCAACGCCGCGGGAGUGAAGAAGGUUGUCGGAUCGUAAAGCUCUGUUGUAAGUCAAGAACGGGUGUGAGAGUGGAAAGUUCACACUGUGACGGUAGCUUACCAGAAAGGGACGGCUAACUACGUG
rnacentral:rRNA from 1 species